rnacentral:lncRNA from 1 species
UUUCAUCUGUACAUUUAUUCUUGACGGACGCCGUCUGGGCCCCCACUCUUGAUUCAGUGCACACACUCCUGCUGGCAAAGGGCUCAGAUCACCAAACAUGUGGCCCUUUAAGGAGUGACUUGUACAGGCCUCCCAGGAGCGGGGGCGGGGGGGGGGGGCGGUGUGUGUGCGAGCAAUAAGGUCUGAAGCAGGCAGGCCACCUUGGAGAAGGGCAACUUUCGUAACAGAAAGGUCACUAACAACAAAUGCUGCAGAGGGAGAAAGAGGGAGGCAGAGCCAGAGAGCGGUCCAAUUAUGAAAAUGAGAAGACACAGGGAUUUAAGAUGCCACCAGAAAGGCCACAUGAAUGUUUAUUACAUAGAAAAGAGGGAACGGCAGAAAAGGUUUCCAAAGCCAUAGUUCCGGGAUUUUAAAAAAACGCAAACUUGGAAUGUCAAAGAGAUGCCAUGCUUUAUACAUUUAUAAUAGGAAUCUAUAAAUAUGUACAUGGAGAUAUGUACACCGGUUUUUAUUUGUACGUUUCACUAUGUGUUCAGUAAGGGUGCUUGAAUUACGCAUUUUAAAGCUAGCGGAACGCUGGAGAAAGGAACACUGCUCGGCCCCUAGAGGGCGCCGUGGAGACGCAGCCGCAGCAGCGGGCAGAUCUGCGGGGGCGGUGUCGGGGGCUGGGGCUGGGGGCUGGGGCUGGGGGGCUGGGGGCUGGGUUCUGAGCUUAUGAAAGAGCUAAGGGGCGGGCAGGCCUGGGCCCCAGGCUGCAAGAUUUGGGCCAAAGUCUAGAAGCUUCCCUGUGUCUGUGGUAUCCUCUCUUGGAACCAAGGAAGGCUCCAGUCAUUAGAACAGGGGCUGGAAAACCCUCUUGGCUGGAUAGCACCCCAGGGGAAGCCUCUGGGGGUGGGGUGGACCCCACAGGAUAGAAGGGAGAUGAGGAAGCCCUGGGAGAUCAGAGAGUGGGUCUUGUUGGAGAACAACAGAAAUGUACCGUGAUUAGUUUACCCAAAAGAAGAGAGACCCAAACAAAGCCAAUCAUGGUAUGAAAAACUAUACAUCACAACACAACACUCAUCCGUAUGUAAAUUCAACUGAAACACACAGAACCAGUCUUGUUUCUAUGUAUGCUGCUUAAAAAAAAUAAACAAAUGGCCCCAUGUACAACAGCAUGGAACUUCGCCCAUGAAUGGGGCCAGCCAAGUGUCCCCAACAGGUGCCCAGGCGGCUUACAGGGCUAUCACUCUCUCCCUGCUUAGAAUAUGGGCCAAGCACUGACCCAGAAAGUGGGGUGGAUGUGACCUCUGACCCCCUUCUUCCUCACGGGUGCCUAUACUGGGGUUGGUGGGAGGGAUGAGGGAGUAGAAGAGAAUCUCAGGAGAGAGGACUGUCGGCAGCCCCAUGAGAGUCCAGAAAGGGACCAUUGUCCCCUCUUCUCUGGGCAGACCCUCCACUCACUCCUACAAAAAGCCAAGCGGGGGCGGGUGGGGGAUGAGCACAGCCGGGUGUGGGGAUGCGGGGGUGCUGAGCCUGUGGACCCCUAGAGGAAGAGGUCCAAGAGAGGAGACAGUGUGCACACCAGGGCCCUGGGGUGGGGGCACUGAGGACAAAAGUGCCUCCAGCCAGGCCCCCGCCAGAGGGAGACGGCUCCUGGGGGAGGCACGGGGCCCCUUUGGAGAUGUUAAGUCCCAAUCCUGAGUCUCCAGACAGCCUGGCCUCACCCGGCAUCAAAGCAACUCUGGGAGUGCACGUGUGCGGGUGUGAGUGUGUGCACAGGCUACGCCCGGGACCUGCUCCACCCACUUAGGUGUCCACACGUGUGUGGUUGUCUGUGCUUCUGCCCACUCUAGGGUGAAAGUGUGGGGGCGGGGGUGGCCGGCAUGGCUGGCAUUUGGGAGGGCUUGGGAACAGAGGUUCCACAGCCAGUGACAACUUGUACCAGAAAUCAGGACACACACAGGCAGGACUCUGUCAUCAACCUCCCUGCUCUGUGAUAGGCUCAGGAAGGCAGAGUGGACUCGGGGGACAAGUGUUCCUGUUUUACUGGAAAGAGCCCUGCCCCUUGAGCCCCUGGGGCCUGCAACAGGACAGAACAGCCUCUGCUACUCCUUGUCCCUUGCCGGAGGAGACUCACUCCAAGCCCUUUGCUCUGAAAGAAAUGAAAACAAUGAUGGCUGCCCAGGCCCCUUGUUCCCAAGCUAUGGAUGGUUAAACUGAGGCAUGUCUUUAAUUUAAAGAGCCAAGGUGGCCCCGAAGGAUCAGCCAGCUCCUUGCUUUCCUCCUUGGGAGGCCUCUGGAAGGCAUCCUCCUGGUCUGGUGGGUGGAGUCAGCACCUCCUUCUGAAGCCCCAGGCUUGUUGUUUGGGGUCUGUGUUUUGCUUUUUCUGAGAUCUCAGUCCUGUUCCUCCAGGAGAAGACGUUAGUGUGUAGCUGGCUUUCUUUCUGUACUUCCUGUUAGUGUCGUUGCCGAGGCUCCUCAGCCCUGGUGGCAUCAUCGCAGUGUCUCUGAGUCACGGUGGAUCAGGGACGGGUACCCCGGGGCGGUCCUGCGUGUUGGACCAGGCAGUCCCCAGUACCAGCUCCAGCUGCAGCCACCAUUCUCUCACGGCAGCACGGGUCCCCUUCGGGCCUGCCUUCCACCAGGGAGUGAGGGUUUGCGGGCUACUCAGGAUGGUGACAGCAGAGUGGCACCCUACUACAUUUGAGGGGGCCAGGCCCCCUCAGAAAACCCUGUCUCUGCCACAGCCAUCCUCCUUCCUCUGGAGCAUAUGUUUGGGGGCCCGUGGCUUCCUCUCUUGGGGCCUCAGUUCUGACAUCUAAAAACUCGGCACAUUGACACCACCCGCUCCCCAGACCAUUCUAAGGGUUACAGGACAUAAAAUGCAGCACAAGAGUUCCUGUUGUGGCUCAUCGGUUAAUGAACCCAACUAGGAUCCAUGAGAACGUGGGUCAAUCCUUGGCCUCGCUCAGUGGGCUAAGGAUCUGGCAUUGCUGUCAGCUGUAGUGUGGGUUGCAGAUAAGGCUCAGAUCCUGCAUUGCUGUGGCUGUGGUGUAGGCCGGCAGCUGCAGCUCUGAUUCGACCCCCAUCCUGGGAACUUCCAUAUGCGGCCCUAAAAAG